rnacentral:rRNA from 1 species
UACGUAGGAGGCGAGCGUUAUCCGGAUUUACUGGGCGUAAAGCGGGCGCAGGCGGUCCUUCAAGUCGGAUGUAAAAUCUCCCGGCUCAACUGGGAGGGCGCAUUCGAUACUGCUGGACUAGAGAGCAGCAGAGGAAGGUGGAAUUCCCGGUGUAGUGGUGAUAUGCGUAGAUAUCGGGAGGAACACCAGUGGCGAAGGCGGCCUUCUGGGCUGUUUCUGACGCUGAGGCCCGAAAGCGUGGGGAGCGAACAGGAUUAGAUACCCGCGUA